UAGCUAGUUUAAAGCAAAGGAUUGAUUCUAUUUUGGGGCAAGUUGGCUCAGAUGAUGCUGGAAUAAUUGGUAUAUGGGAUAUGGAGCUGUCUUUGGUACAUUCUGUAAACUUCCUAAUAGUUGACUGUAGUGUGGGUUCUGCUUGAUCUAAUUUGAGUUGCUGUCAUUGCUCAGGUCUGCAGCAUCUACCUGCAGUAUAAUCAUGGGUUUUUCCUUUAUGACACAAGGCAUUAACUCUGGGUUAAAUGUAGCUCCUUGUCUCCAACAGGUGUUUUUUGAACACUCUACUAAAUAGCAAAUGUAUUUUCAUCUCUUCCUCUUCCACCCAACAGCAUUUGCUCAAGACUAUUUCAUAUGAGGUGGAAAAUCCAGUCAACAGCAAUGUGUGAUAAGACAAAUCUCCAUGGAGCCUGGGAAAGCUUCUCCACGAAAACACACAUUUUGGUUGGGGGAAAACAGGGACUGUUAUUUUUAUCUGAACAGCAUGUGCUUUUGCAAAACGAUAAGGAAACUGAGUUACAAAGAAGUUGACUUUGCUUGUUUCUGCUGUUCCACAUGCCUGAAUUACCUUUCCAUGAUCCUUCCAGUCAUUCCUCAAGAUUUACACAGAGAAGGAAAGACAGAGAGAGACA